AGACUGCACUGCAGUUUGUAUAUCCAAGCAAGCACACCAUCAUCAAGGGAUGUGGGGAAGCAUGGUCUGACUAUGGACGGAAAAGAAAGUGCAGAAGAGAAAAGAAAACCAGCAUCACACCUGUUUUUUUCAACCUCAGAGGGUGUGAUAUAUGAUUCUAACAACUAUGUGCAUGUGCGAUUACUAAAGUGCUUGCGAGUGUGAUGGAGCUGCAGCGGCGUUUUUCUGUGUCUGUAAAUGAUUAUGAAGAAAGUGAAGGAAAUGCAGAGAAGAGGAAGAUGCAGAAAAAUUAUGAUGUUAGAACAGAAGAUCUUUAUCAAAGUCUUCAGAUCCCACCUACUGCACACCAUGGAAUUAUUAACAGUACAGCACUGCUCUCAGAAAGAAAGUAUGUGUUUUUACUGUUUGCUGUGAACAUUCUUAUCUCAGCCAUCAUCCUUGUCAUUGUGGGUCUAAAUUACUCUCACAAAAGAGAAACACAACCAAUAAAAGGACAAAAAGAAAUGUGGCUUCUCCAUGACAAUGUGUUUUAUUUGUUCUGGAGUGACCACAGCGAUUGCCGCGCUGCUGAGAGCUUCUGUUCUAAGAGAAAUGCCAGUCUGGCCAUUUUAACUGAGCAUAACAAGGUCUGGUUGAUGUCUAGAACCAAUGGAAAGCUAUUUUUGCUCUCAAGAGCCUCAUCAGAUGGAUCUGGAUACACUGCUUCUCCAUCAAUGGAUGAUGAAGAUCGUGAGUGUGGCAUCAUGACCGAUGAUGUUGACACAGACCAUGAAGAAGGAUUUGUGUGUGAGAGGAGAAUGAAUCCCAUAGUCAAAAAUUGUGCAGACUUUGGCAUCUUUUGAAGCUGUAAUGGAUGUAGCCUACUGGACAGCUCCUUGGCCCAAAGUUCAGCUUCCAGACAGCAUGCAUAUGUGUUGUACUUCAUUUAUCUUGUUUUAUUUUAUUUUAUUAAAACUCUUCUCUGUAACUAGACAGAAUAGCUGUAUUGUCUCCAGAAGUUCCAGAUAAGAGGUUGUCUCCCUUCAAGGCUUUCAAUGACAUUUUUAAAAAGCGAUAAUUUUCUAUUCUCUUUUUCUUGUUUUAAGAACACUUGAUGAU
rnacentral:lncRNA from 1 species